rnacentral:piRNA from 1 species
UCAAGUGCUUUAUUAACUUCAGAAUCAUAGU